CCCAUGGACUUACAUUGGGCCAUUGUGACAUCAUAAUAGGGUCAUUAAACUGGCUUGCACCUGUGCUUCACUGACGCCUGUGUCAAUUCCAAGGCACCUCUUCUCUCUGUCCCUCUCAAUUCAACUGUAUAACUAGGAAUAUUAAGAGACAGCUUCCAUACUCUACUUAUUUUUUUCCAUCUCUCCAUCUUUCUCUCUCUUUUUCUCCUUCUUUCAGUAUUUUCCCUCUCGUUCACUCUUCUUUCCUUUCUUCUUUCACACUUGUUCACUCUUCUUUCCUUUCUUAACUUUUGCAUUUCAUGCACUGGCAUUUCCUUCAGGAAAUGCAUAUUGUUGUAUUUUAUUAUUACUGUUCGAUAUUGGCUUGUUGGAGAUGAAAUACUUUCUCUAUUGUUUUUGUUUUAUUGCCAUUGUUUCUGUCCGGAUGGUGUUUUUAUCCUUUCCUGUUCAAAUUGUUAUCUGGGUUUAGUUCAGACAUUGGAAAAUGUGAAUAUCCUUUGGCUUUGGACCAGUAGGCUGUAAGGAGCUUGCGGAAGCGACCAUCCUGACCCCUUUUCUUCACACUGCCCUAGCAGGGACCACUCAGCAGGAACAUGGCGCAUCAGCAACAUCACCUUCUGGUCCGGUGUCUUUCCCUGAUUCUGCUGGGUACUGCUGUGCAUGCACACACCGUGAGUAUUCAGCCCAACAAGCGGUUUGUGGAGCUUGGUUCUGCUUUCAACUUCAGCUGUUCCACAGAUUGCCCUGGAGCGAGGGUCACCUGGGUUACUUUAACAGAUGACAUCGACUUCACUACAACUGAAAUCAACCUAGGAAAUGUCCUCUCUGUUUCCUCUACACUUGAAUCUCAUGCUGGAUCUUAUACUUGUACAUCACGGUGCAAACAGUCAUCCAAGAGGGCCACUGCAACCUUAAAUGUUUUCUCCUUUCCUGACCCUGUGUUGUCCAUGGCUCCUCUGAAUCCUGUAUCUGGACAGCCUGUGCAGGUUAAUUGCACAGUUACUGCUGUUUACUGCAGUCUUGAGUACAAAGUGGACAUCAAACUAUUUCGAGAGGACGAGUUGAGUGGGCCAAUGUAUGAGUUGUGUGAUGAAUCCAUCUUUUGCGACCACACCCUGUCGGCUACAGAUCGAACGGGAGGAAAGAGAGUUAACUACAGAUGUUUGGCAGAGUUCACAGAUUUUAUUCAUACUAUUAAUAAAACUGCAAAUGCAACAUUACAUUUUCAAGACACUGGAGUAGUGGAAUCUAAGCAGGAUACCAGCCCAACUUUGGCAUCUUUGACUAGUAGAGCUGCAACAACUAUGGCCCCAAUAACUGACACAUCUCCAGUGGAAAGUGCUAUUACUAGGGAGCCUAAUCGUCCUGAUGGCACUCCAGUCUCUUCAAAAGAACAGGCUACUUCAUCUCAACCAAUAACCAAGUCAUCCCAAUUGGAAGGUUCAACUACACAGACUCAAGACUCCAGAGAAAGCAACAUGGAGAAAGCCACGGAAGAGGUCUCCAAAUUCACCACUUCUAUCGUGGGAGCUUCUGCUACACUUUUGCUUUCUAUUGUGGGAAUAGUGGCCUACUUAUACAAGUAUGGAAGAAAGCUACCACCCUGUCUCAGAAGGUCCCAAAGAAAAGAAAACACAGAUAAAUUGAAGGAAGUGUUGUAGAAUUCAUAUCAGUUUGAUUCUUGAGAUUAAGUUUUGAUUUUUGGAUUUGGAUUAAUCAAAAAAUACUUGGAUUAUUCUCCAAACCUAUGUUAAAUGAGGUUUUAGCUAACCAUGUUUUGGAACUACCUCCUGGCUGUACAUUUUUUUGAUUAAUUGCGUGUUUUCUGGAUCAGUCAACACCACCAGACACAUAAAAAUGUCUAUACAAUUAUUUUGAAUUGAAUGAUCACAGAUAUUUUGUCUCUCAGCCAUUUACUUAUUUUUAAACUAUUGUAAUAUAAUGACACAUUUGAUGUAAUUUAGAAUAAAAAUAUUUAUGAAACAACA
rnacentral:lncRNA from 1 species